rnacentral:rRNA from 1 species
UACGAAGGGUGCAAACGUUGCUCGGAAUUAUUGGGCGUAAAGCGCACGUAGGCGGCUCUGAAAGUUGGAUGUGAAAUCCCUCGGCUCAACCAAGGAAGUGCAUCCAAAACUGCAGAGCUUGAGUACUUAAGAGGAUCGCGGAAUUCCCGGUGUAGAGGUGAAAUUCGUAGAUAUCGGGAGGAACACCAGUGGCGAAGGCGGCGAUCUGGGAAGAUACUGACGCUGAGGCACGAAAGCGUGGGGAGCAAACAGG